GAUGAACGCUAGCGACAGGCCUAACACAUGCAAGUCGAGGGGCAGCACAUGAGUAGCAAUACGAUGGUGGCGACCGGCGCACGGGUGAGUAACACGUAUGCAACCUGCCUUCUACUAUGGGAUAACCCGUUGAAAGACGGACUAAUACCGUAUAAUACAGGGGCUCCGCAUGGAGAUAUUUGUUAAAGAUUUAUUGGUAGAAGAUGUGCAUGCGUAUGAUUAGAUAGUUGGUGAGGUAACGGCUCACCAAGUCAACGAUCAUUAGGGGUUCUGAGAGGAAGGUCCCCCACACUGGUACUGAGACACGGACCAGACUCCUACGGGAGGCAGCAGUGAGGAAUAUUGGUCAAUGGACGAGAGUCUGAACCAGCCAAGUCGCGUGAAGGAAGACGGUUCUAUGAAUUGUAAACUUCUUUUGUGCAGGAAUAAAGUGGGUUACGUGUAACCUUUGGUAUGUACUGUACGAAUAAGGAUCGGUUAACUCCGUGCCAGCAGCAGCCGCAGUAA
rnacentral:rRNA from 1 species